GUGGUCAAAUUGAUUUAGGUGCCAAAAACAUAUUUGGGUAUGUUGGUCGGUUCACUUUGCGCGCUAAUGGGAGUAUUAACAAUUGCACUUCCAGUUCCGGUCAUCGUCUCCAAU
rfam:Brugia malayi, FR3, WGS project CAPY01000000 data, contig: ctg1511427